AGAGUUUGAUCAUGGCUCAGAACGAACGCUGGCGGCAGGCCUAACACAUGCAAGUCGAACGCUGUAGCAAUACAGAGUGGCAGACGGGUGAGUAACGCGUGGGAACCUACCCUAUGGUACGGAAUAACUUCGGGAAACCGAAGCUAAUACCGUAUACCUCCUCCGGGAGAAAGAUUUAUCGCCAUGGGAUGGGCCCGCGUUGGAUUAGCUAGUUGGUGAGGUAAUGGCUCACCAAGGCAACGAUCCAUAGCUGGUCUGAGAGGAUGAUCAGCCACACUGGGACUGAGACACGGCCCAGACUCCUACGGGAGGCAGCAGUGGGGAAUAUUGGACAAUGGGGGCAACCCUGAUCCAGCCAUGCCGCGUGAGUGAAGAAGGCCUUAGGGUUGUAAAGCUCUUUUGGCGGGGACGAUAAUGACGGUACCCGCAGAAUAAGCCCCGGCUAACUUCGUGCCAGCAGCCGCGGUAAUACGAAGGGGGCUAGCGUUGUUCGGAAUCACUGGGCGUAAAGCGCACGCAGGCGGAUUGAUAAGUCAGGGGUGAAAUCCCGGAGCUCAACUUCGGAAUUGCCUUUGAUACUGUCUGUCUUCGAGUUCGGGAGAGGUUGGCGGAAUUCCUAGUGUAGAGGUGAAAUUCGUAGAUAUUAGGAAGAACACCAGUGGCGAAGGCGGCCAACUGGCCCGAUACUGACGCUCAUGUGCGAAAGCGUGGGGAGCAAACAGGAUUAGAUACCCUAGUAGUCC
rnacentral:rRNA from 1 species